rnacentral:rRNA from 1 species
UACGUAGGGUGCGAGCGUUGUCCGGAAUUAUUGGGCGUAAAGAGCUCGUAGGCGGUCUGUCGCGUCGGUCGUGAAAACUUGGGGCUUAACCCUGAGCUUGCGGUCGAUACGGGCAUGACUGGAGUUCGGUAGGGGAGACUGGAAUUCCUGGUGUAGCGGUGAAAUGCGCAGAUAUCAGGAGGAACACCGGUGGCGAAGGCGGGUCUCUGGGCCACUACUGACGCUGAGAAGCGAAAGCAUGGGGAGCGAACAGG